rnacentral:rRNA from 1 species
GACGAACGCUGGCGGCGUGCCUAAUACAUGCAAGUAGAACGCUGAAGGAGGAGCUUGCUUCUCCGGAUGAGUUGCGAACGGGUGAGUAACGCGUAGGUAACCUGCCUGGUAGCGGGGGAUAACUAUUGGAAACGAUAGCUAAUACCGCAUAACAGUAGAUGUUGCAUGACAUUUGCUUAGAAGGUGCAAUUGCAUCACUACCAGAUGGACCUGCGUUGUAUUAGCUAGUUGGUGAGGUAACGGCUCACCAAGGCGACGAUACAUAGCCGACCUGAGAGGGUGAUCGGCCACACUGGGACUGAGACACGGCCCAGACUCCUACGGGAGGCAGCAGUAGGGAAUCUUCGGCAAUGGACGGAAGUCUGACCGAGCAACGCCGCGUGAGUGAAGAAGGUUUUCGGAUCGUAAAGCUCUGUUGUAAGAGAAGAACGAGUGUGAGAGUGGAAAGUUCACACUGUGACGGUAUCUUACCAGAAAGGGACGGCUAACUACGUG